rnacentral:rRNA from 1 species
GACGAACGCUGGCGGCGUACUUAACACAUGCAAGUCGAACGGAAAGGCCCUGCUUUUGUGGGGUGCUCGAGUGGCGAACGGGUGAGUAACACGUGAGUAACCUGCCCUUGACUUUGGGAUAACUUCAGGAAACUGGGGCUAAUACCGGAUAGGAGCUCCUGCUGCAUGGUGGGGGUUGGAAAGUUUCGGCGGUUGGGGAUGGACUCGCGGCUUAUCAGCUUGUUGGUGGGGUAGUGGCUUACCAAGGCUUCGACGGGUAGCCGGCCUGAGAGGGUGACCGGCCACACGGGAACUGGGACACGGUCCAGACUCCUGCGGGAGGCAGCAGGAGGGAAUCGUCCGCGAUGGGCGAGAGCCUGGCGGAGCAACGCCGCGUGAGUGAUGAAGGUCUUCGGAUCGGAAAACUCUGUGAUUAGGGAAGAACAAACGUGUAAGUAACUGUGCACGUCUUGACGGUACCUAAUCAGAAAGCCACGGCUAACUACGUG